rnacentral:rRNA from 1 species
UACAUGUGGGGCAAGCGUUGUCCGGAAUCACUGGGCGUAAAGGGCGCGUAGGCGGCCUGGCAAGUCGAUGGUGAAAGCCCGAGGCUCAACUUCGGGUCGGCCACUGAUACUGCUGGGCUUGAGUCGACUAGAGGCAGAUGGAAUUCCGGGUGUAGCGGUGGAAUGCGUAGAGAUCCGGAAGAACACCGGUGGCGAAGGCGGUCUGCUGGGGUCGAACUGACGCUGAGGCGCGACAGCGUGGGGAGCAAACAGG